UCUUUGCUAGUAUAUCGGUUAGUACACGCGCCUGUCACUUGAAAGCAAGUCGUUCCGCGCGAAAGCUGGGUUCGACUCCCAGGCAAAGAG